CCGUACUAGGUGGGGAGGUAGCGGUGCCCUGAACUCGCAAUCCGCUCUAGCGAGACUGAAUUCCUUUUUGAGGUUAGUACGCUGUAGGGUCUGCCUUCUGUAAGUGGUGUUGACGUCUGGGUCCUGCGCAAUGGAAAUCCAUGAACCAUGUCAGGUCCGGAAGGAAGCAGCAUUAAGUGGAAGCUUCCAUGUGCCGCAGGGGUGCCUGGGCUGAGCUAACUGCAGGAGUAACGCUUAUGGCGGCUAAUCAAGGAAAGGUGUACGG
rnacentral:SRP_RNA from 1 species